rnacentral:rRNA from 1 species
AGGACGAACGCUGGCGGCGCGCUUAACACAUGCAAGUCGAACGUGAAGCUGGAGCUUGCUCCGGUGGAAAGUGGCGAACGGGUGCGUAACACGUGAGCAACCUGCCCCGAAGACUGGGAUAACACCGGGAAACCGGUGCUAAUACCGGAUACCUUCUUCCGAUCGCAUGGUUGGAUGAAGAAAUGGAUUCCGCUUCGGGAUGGGCUCGCGGCCUAUCAGCUUGUUGGUGAGGUAACGGCCCACCAAGGCGACGACGGGUAGCUGGUCUGAGAGGACGACCAGCCACACUGGGACUGAGACACGGCCCAGACUCCUACGGGAGGCAGCAGUGGGGAAUCUUGCUCAAUGGGCGAAAGCCUGAAGCAGCGACGCCGCGUGCGGGAUGAAGGCCCUCGGGUUGUAAACCGCUUUCAGCAGGGACGAAUUGACGGUACCUGCAGAAGAAGGCCCGGCCAACUACGCGCCAGCAGCCGCGGUAA